CUCUCUGUAGCUCAGUUGGUUAGAGCGCUGCACCGGAAUCGCAGGGCUCAGGUUUGAUUCCUGCCAGAAGG
rnacentral:tRNA from 1 species